CGGCCCAUCAGCUAGUUGGUAGGGUAAAGGCCUACCAAGGCGAAGACGGGUAGGGGGUGUGAGAGCACGACCCCCCACAAUGGGACUGAAACACGGCCCAUACUCCUACGGGAGGCAGCAGCAGGGAAUAUUGCACAAUGGGCGAAAGCCUGAUGCAGCGACGCCGCGUGAGUGAAGAAGGCCUUCGGGUCGUAAAGCUCUUUUGUAGGGGAAGAGGAAGGACGGUACCCUGAGAAAAAGCGUCGGCUAACUACGUGCCAGCAGCCGCGGUAAGACGUAGGACGCGAGCGUUAUCCGGAAUUACUGGGCGUAAAGGGCCAGCAGGCGGCUAGGUAAGUUGUGCGUGAAAGCCUCGUGCUCAACGCGAGGAAGCCGGACAAUACUGUCUAGCUGGAGGGCAUCAGAGGGGAGUGGAAUUCCCGGAGUAGCGGUAAAAUGCGCAGAUAUCGGGAGGAACACCGAUGGCGAAGGCAACUCCCUGGGGUGUACCUGACGCUAAGUGGCGAAAGCUAGGGGAGCGAACAGGAUUAGAGACCCUGGUAGUCCUAGCUGUAAACGCUGGGUGCUAGGUGUGGGGCGUAGAAGCUCUGUGCCGGAGCGAACGCGAUAAGCACCCCGCCUGGGAAUUACGGUCGCAAGGCUAAAACUCAAACGAAUUGACGGGGCCCCGCACAAGCAGCGGAGCGUGUGGUUCAAUUCGAUGCUACACGAAGAACCUUACCUGGGUUUGACAUGUACGUGGUAGAGAAGCGAAAGCGGAUUGACCCUUCGGGGAGCGUACACAGGUGCUGCAUGGCUGUCGUCAGCUCGUGCCGUGAGGUGUCGGGUUAAGUCCCGUAACGAGCGCAACCCUUGCCCUUAGUUACAAGUGUCUAGGGGGACUGCCGGCGGGAAGCCGGAGGACGCUGGGGAUGACGUCAAGUCAGCAUGGCCCUUAUGUCCAGGGCUACACACACGCUACAAUGGUCAGUACAAAGGGUAGCGAAGCCGUGAGGUGG
rnacentral:rRNA from 1 species